rnacentral:rRNA from 1 species
AACUUAGCAGAGAUGCUUGGUGCCUUCGGGAACUCUGAGACAGGUGCUGCAUGGCUGUCGUCAGCUCGUGUUGUGAAAUGUUGGGUUAAGUCCCGCAACGAGCGCAACCCUUAUCCUUUGUUGCCAGCGGCUCGGCCGGGAACUCAAAGGAGACUGCCGGUGAUAAACCGGAGGAAGGUGGGGAUGACGUCAAGUCAUCAUGGCCCUUACGGCCAGGGCUACACACGUGCUACAAUGGCGCAUACAAAGAGAAGCGACCUCGCGAGAGCAAGCGGACCUCACAAAGUGCGUCGUAGUCCGGAUUGGAGUCUGCAACUCGACUCCAUGAAGUCGGAAUCGCUAGUAAUCGUAGAUCAGAAUGCUACGGUGAAUACGUUCCCGGGCCUUGUACACACCGCCCGUCACACCAUGGGAGUGGGUUGCAAAAGAAGUAGGUAGCUUAACCUUCGGGAGGGCGCUUACCACUUUGUGAUUCAUGACUGGGGUGAAGUCGUAACAAGGUAGGCGUAGCGAG